CGCUGAAUGAUUCCAGGUCUUUCCUUUGCAUAUUUCAGUAGGUGGUAUCUACGUGGGGUGAUUAAUGGUGCUGGUGAAAGACAGUUCAAGGAAUCCACCUGAUUCAGACUGGAAUGUCUUCUCAGAGGUGGAAUGCUUAAUCUUCCCCUCAGAACCCUGAGAGGGAGGCCUGAGGAGACUGGAUUCCAUAGCCCUGUGGGGCCUUCAGUCAAGACUGGUACCAAACAACUUUUGAACCAAAGUUGGGAACCUUAGGCUAAUUCACUGCACAAGUGGUUCCCAUCUCUAUAAUCUUUGGACCCUGCCCCAAAUACAGAUCUCUCCUACUUAUACUUUCA